CACAUUCCUAGCCCACGGUUUUAUUCUAUGUAGACAAACCAAUGAACCUUUCUUUUCAUCUCUUCUGCAUAGGUCAUAAUCGGAAGCACCCUACAGGGCCAGCCAGAUGACUCAUCAGAUAGAGGUGUUGGCUGACAAAACCUGACAGCCUGGAUUGGAUCCCUGGGACCCACAUGGUAGAAGGGGAGGACAGGCGUCCCCAUGCUGUCCCGUGACCUUCACAUACACGCUUUGGCGUGUGCACAUCCACCUACCAACCCAAAAUGCCAUUCUAAAACCCCAAAAAUAAGCCCUUUCCUACACUCCAGAUGACUGAGAGUCUCUUGGCUUUCCUCCUCACUCAGCCUCUGCCUCCCCUGGGGCAGAGACAUUUCCAUAUCAUCUCUACCUACAGUGGCCUCUAGGCUAAAAACUGACAAAACACAUUGAGAAGGCUCCUAAUUUAAUAAUUCUUAGAAAUCUGAUUUCUGCCUGGCGUUGGUGGCAUGCGCCUUCAAUCCCAG